rnacentral:rRNA from 2 species
AAGGUGGCCUGUGAGGGUUGCUGGAGGUAUCAGAAGUGCGAAUGCUGACAUAAGUAACGAUAAAGCGGGUGAAAAGCCCGCUCGCCGGAAGACCAAGGGUUCCUGUCCAACGUUAAUCGGGGCAGGGUGAGUCGACCCCUAAGGCGAGGCCGAAAGGCGUAGUCGAUGGGAAACGGGUUAAUAUUCCCGUACUUGGUGUUACUGCGAAGGGGGGACGGAGAAGGCUAUGUUGGCCGGGCGACGGUUGUCCCGGUUUAAGCGUGUAGGUGUGUGUUCCAGGUAAAUCCGGUUCACUUUAACACUGAGGCGUGAUGACGAGGCACUACGGUGCUGAAGCAACAAAUGCCCUGCUUCCAGGAAAAGCCUCUAAGCAUCAGGUAACAUCAAAUCGUACCCCAAACCGACACAGGUGGUCAGGUAGAGAAUACCAAGGCGCUUGAGAGAACUCGGGUGAAGGAACUAGGCAAAAUGGUGCCGUAACUUCGGGAGAAGGCACGCUGACACGUAGGUGAAGUGAUUUACUCAUGGAGCUGAAGUCAGUCGAAGAUACCAGCUGGCUGCAACUGUUUAUUAAAAACACAGCACUGUGCAAACACGAAAGUGGACGUAUACGGUGUGACGCCUGCCCGGUGCCGGAAGGUUAAUUGAUGGGGUCAGCGCAAGCGAAGCUCCUGAUCGAAGCCCCGGUAAACGGCGGCCGUAACUAUAACGGUCCUAAGGUAGCGAAAUUCCUUGUCGGGUAAGUUCCGACCUGCACGAAUGGCGUAAUGAUGGCCAGGCUGUCUCCACCCGAGACUCAGUGAAAUUGAACUCGCUGUGAAGAUGCAGUGUACCCGCGGCAAGACGGAAAGACCCCGUGAACCUUUACUAUAGCUUGACACUGAACAUUGAGCCUUGAUGUGUAGGAUAGGUGGGAGGCUUUGAAGUGUGGACGCCAGUCUGCAUGGAGCCGACCUUGAAAUACCACCCUUUAAUGUUUGAUGUUCUAACGUGGACCCGUAAUCCGGGUUGCGGACAGUGUCUGGUGGGUAGUUUGACUGGGGCGGUCUCCUCCUAAAGAGUAACGGAGGAGCACGAAGGUUGGCUAAUCCUGGUCGGACAUCAGGAGGUUAGUGCAAUGGCAUAAGCCAGCUUGACUGCGAGCGUGACGGCGCGAGCAGGUGCGAAAGCAGGUCAUAGUGAUCCGGUGGUUCUGAAUGGAAGGGCCAUCGCUCAACGGAUAAAAGGUACUCCGGGGAUAACAGGCUGAUACCGCCCAAGAGUUCAUAUCGACGGCGGUGUUUGGCACCUCGAUGUCGGCUCAUCACAUCCUGGGGCUGAAGUAGGUCCCAAGGGUAUGGCUGUUCGCCAUUUAAAGUGGUACGCGAGCUGGGUUUAGAACGUCGUGAGACAGUUCGGUCCCUAUCUGCCGUGGGCGCUGGAGAACUGAGGGGGGCUGCUCCUAGUACGAGAGGACCGGAGUGGACGCAUCACUGGUGUUCGGGUUGUCAUGCCAAUGGCACUGCCCGGUAGCUAAAUGCGGAAGAGAUAAGUGCUGAAAGCAUCUAAGCACGAAACUUGCCCCGAGAUGAGUUCU